GGAGGAAAGUAGGGGAUCGAAAGACCUUAUGCUUUUGGAGCGGCCGAUGUCUGAUUAGCUAGUUGGUAAGGUAAUGGCUUACCAAGGCAACGAUCAGUAGUUGGUCUGAGAGGACGACCAGCCACACUGGGACUGAGACACGGCCCAGACUCCUACGGGAGGCAGCAGUGGGGAAUUUUGGACAAUGGGCGCAAGCCUGAUCCAGCAAUGCCGCGUGAGUGAAGAAGGCCUUCGGGUUGUAAAGCUCUUUCAGUUGAGAAGAAAAGAUUGUGACUAAUAAUUGCAAUUCAUGACGGUAUCAACAGAAGAAGCACCGGCUAACUACGUGCCAGCAGCCGCGGUAAUACGUAGGGUGCGAGCGUUAAUCGGAAUUACUGGGCGUAAAGGGUGCGCAGGCGGUUCUGUAAGUCAGAUGUGAAAUCCCCGGGCUUAACCUGGGAACUGCGUUGAAACUACAAAGCUAG
rnacentral:rRNA from 1 species